CCUACGGGGGGCAGCAGUGGGGAAUCUUGCGCAAUGGGCGAAAGCCUGACGCAGCCAUGCCGCGUGAAUGAUGAAGGUCUUAGGAUUGUAAAAUUCUUUCACCGGGGACGAUAAUGACGGUACCCGGAGAAGAAGCCCCGGCUAACUUCGUGCCAGCAGCCGCGGUAAUACGAAGGGGGCUAGCGUUGCUCGGAAUUACUGGGCGUAAAGGGAGCGUAGGCGGACAUUUAAGUCAGGGGUGAAAUCCCGGGGCUCAACCUCGGAAUUGCCUUUGAUACUGGGUGUCUUGAGUAUGAGAGAGGUGUGUGGAACUCCGAGUGUAGAGGUGAAAUUCGUAGAUAUUCGGAAGAACACCAGUGGCGAAGGCGACACACUGGCUCAUUACUGACGCUGAGGCUCGAAAGCGUGGGGAGCAAACAGGAUUAGAUACCCGUGU
rnacentral:rRNA from 1 species